UCUGGAUAGGUCUCCUUUGGUAUAUAGU
rnacentral:piRNA from 1 species